rnacentral:tRNA from 1 species
UAGCUAUUAAUUUAACUAAAAUAUUAAUUUUGUAAAUUAAAAAUAAGUAAUCUUAUAGCUAA